GCCGGCUUAGCUCAGUUGGUAGAGCGACGGUAUCGUAAACCGUAGGUCAGGUGUUCGAUUCACCUAGCCGGCA
rnacentral:tRNA from 1 species